rnacentral:rRNA from 1 species
GACGAACGCUGGCGGCGUGCUUAACACAUGCAAGUCGAACGGAAAGGCCCUGCUUGCAGGGUACUCGAGUGGCGAACGGGUGAGUAACACGUGGGUGAUCUGCCCUGCACUUCGGGAUAAGCCUGGGAAACUGGGUCUAAUACCGGAUAGGAGCCAUUUUUAGCGUGAUGGUUGGAAAGUUUUUUCGGUGUAGGAUGAGCUCGCGGCCUAUCAGCUUGUUGGUGGGGUAAUGGCCUACCAAGGCGGCGACGGGUAGCCGGCCUGAGAGGGUGGACGGCCACAUUGGGACUGAGAUGCGGCCCAGACUCCGACGGGAGGCAGCAGUGGGGAAUAUUGCACAAUGGGCGCAAGCCUGAUGCAGCGACGCCGCGUGGGGGAGGACGGCCUUCGGGUUGUAAACUCCUUUCGCUAGGGACGAAGCUUUUUGUGACGGUACCUAGAUAAGAAGCACCGGCUAACUACGUG